rnacentral:rRNA from 1 species
UACGUAGGGUGCGAGCGUUGCCCGGAUUUAUUGGGCGUAAAGGGCGCGCAGGCGGCUACGCACGUCCGUUGUGAAAUCGCUCGGCUCAACUGGGCGGGGUCAGCGGAUACGGCGUAGCUGGAGCAAGCUAGGGGGCAAUGGAAUUCCCGGUGUAGCGGUGGAAUGCGUAGAGAUCGGGAAGAACACCAGUGGCGAAGGCGACGUGCUGGGUUGCACCUGACGCUGAGAUGCGAAAGUGUGGGGAGCAAACGGG